GCGGUGAGGCAGAAUGGGGUUACAGGAAGCACAAUUCCUGCCCGAGGGGCUUCUGAGACUAUCAGUGUUUUGUGCCUGCACUGAAGAGUCUGUGCCUUUCAAGAAACUCCAGAAAAUUAAUUGUGGUCCCCAUCCUGCUAAGCCACACCUGACAAGCUUUGGUUGCUGCCACUUGCUGCC